UAAUACGUAGGGUGCGAGCGUUAAUCGGAAUUACUGGGCGUAAAGGGUGCGCAGGCGGUUUUGUAAGUCAGAUGUGAAAUCCCCGGGCUUAACCUGGGAAUUGCGUUUGAAACUAUAAGACUAGAGUGCAAGAGAGGGGAGUGGAAUUCCAUGUGUAGCAGUGAAAUGCGUAGAGAUGUGGAAGAACACCGAUGGCGAAGGCAGCUCCCUGGAUUGACACUGACGCUCAUGCACGAAAGCGUGGGGAGCAAACAGGAUUAGAUACCCUGGUAGUCCACGCCCUAAACUAUGUCAACUGGUUGUCAGAUCUAAUUAAGGAUUUGGUAACGUAGCUAACGCGUGAAGUUGACCGCCUGGGGAGUACGAUCGCAAGAUUAAAACUCAAAUGAAUUGACGG
rnacentral:rRNA from 1 species